rnacentral:tRNA from 1 species
GGGGUUGUGGCUCAGCAGUAGAGCACUCACCUAGCAUGUGUGAGGCAUAGGGUUCAAUCCUCAGCACCA